rnacentral:misc_RNA from 1 species
UCAUCGAAAUGGCUUCCUCAAUUUUGAUCCGUUGUUGCUCCGCGAGCUAAACGUCGGAUGCAAGAUGUGGGUUCCUGUGUUGCAUACCUAUUGCGACGGAAAUGUGUGCCUUCGGUCGUCCCUUCCAUCACGACGUCCUCUCGGAUGCUCGGUUGGACCGGAUAGUGGGGCUCGUGUUCCACGAACGUCGUCUCGUUCGAUCGUUCGGAUGGACCACGAGUGCCUACUCGUUCUCUCGGAUGCGGAACUCUCGUAAUGGGAGUGGGGUCAUUGGCCCUUGUUCCCUAAUCGUUUAGCGUUUACCGCUUCACCUGAAUGACGAUCCUGCCUUGUCCUUGAUCGCGCGAAGCCCUCGGGCAUCGCGAUGGAUCAUGCUCGGGCGGACGUCUUGAAGGAAUGC